rnacentral:rRNA from 1 species
CCUACGGGUGGCAGCAGUAGGGAAUGUUGCGCAAUGGGCGAAAGCCUGACGCAGCAACGCCGCGUGAUUGAUGAAGCCCUUCGGGGUGUAAAGAUCUGUCAGUGGGGACGAAACUUGACGGGACCCACAGAGGAAGCACCGGCUAACUCCGUGCCAGCAGCCGCGGUAAUACGGAGGGUACAAGCGUUGUCCGGAAUCAUUGGGCGUAAAGAGUUCGUAGGUGGAAGAGUAAGUCUGGUGUUAAAUGCCGAAGCUCAACUUCUGUUCGGCACUGGAUACUGGUAAGCUGGAAUGCGGUAGAGGUAACGGGAAUUCCUGUUGUCGCGGUGACAUGCGUAGAUAUCAGGAGGAACAUCGGUGGCG